UCCCGCCUACCAAUGGCAGCUAGUUUCAUGUACUUCCUGCUUUAACUCCAUGUACUUCCUGCUCCUCAACAGCCAAUAGAAAUGCCUUCUCUUUGUUUCCCUAGUAGUCAGUCAAGGCCCGCAUACCCAAGGUCCUGCCUGCCUACCAAUGGCAGCUAGUUUUAGGUACUUCCUACUUUAAUUCUAUGUACUUCCUACUCCUCAACAGCCAAUAGAAUUGCCUUCUCUUUGUUUCCCCAGUAACCAGUCAAUUGCCUGCAAUCCCCAUAAACUCCAUGCCCUGAACAGCCAGGUGCGACUUCUCUGGCCCCCACUUGGGCCACUGAAGCUUGCCCAGGAGCUGAAUAAAUUGGCUUCUCACUUUUUUAUACUUGCCUCAGUUUCCUCAUUUUACCUUGGCAAUAAAUCUUACAUUUAUUGGUGCUGAAACCAGGGACGAGUUGUGAGACCUCCCCUCCUGGGGAGGGAAACUGACUCCUCCACUCGAGGCCGGACCAGGAGCUGCUCCACCACGAGGGCUGUCUGUUAUGAGGCACCGUAAGCCAAGAGAGCUCCUCUCUAGGAGAACCCUGACAGAGGGAAGGUUACGAUCAGCUGUGUCAGUCAGACACCAUUAUGCAGUGGAAGACUGAGCACUUUCCCCUGUGAUCCAGAAGUGCAUUUUGCCUCCUGCCAUCAUUCUGAAGCCUCCUCAGCCAUGUGGAACUGUAAGUCCUAUAGAACCUCUUUUUGUUUCUAGUUUGGGGUGUGUCUUUAUAGGCAGUUUGAAAAUGAACUAAUACAGUAAAUCGGUUCCAGUAGUGUAGGGCAUUGCUGAAAAGAUAUCUGAAAAUGACGAAGUGACUUUGGAACUGGGUAAUAGGCAGAUUGGAAUGGUUUGGAAGGCUCAGAAGAAGACAGGAAAAUGUGGGAAAGUUUAGAACCUCCUAAAGACUUGUUGAAAGAAUUUGUCAAAAAUGUUGAUAGUGAUAUGAACAAUAAAGUCCAGGCUAAGGUGGUCCCAGAUGGAGAUGAGGAACUUGUUGGUAACAGGAGCAACGGUAACUCUUGUUAUGUUUUAGCAAAGAGACUGGUGGCAUUUUGUCCCUGUCUUAGAAAUUCGUAGAACUUUGAACUUGAGAGAGAUGUUUUAGGGUAUCUGGUGGAAGAAAUUUCUAAACACCAAAGCAAUUCUAAGGAUGACUUGAGUGCUGUUAAAACAUUCCAUUUUAAAAGGGAAACAGCAUAAAAGUUCAGAAACUUUGUAGAAGCCUGAUGUAGUAGUAGAAAAAAAUAUACAUAUUUUUUUGAGGAGCCUGAUUAUUAUUAGGCAAGGAGCAUAAUGUCAAUGCCCAAGACCAUAGGGAAAAUGUCUCUAGGCCAUGUCAGAGACCUUUAUGGCAGCCCUUCCCAUCACAGGCCUGGAGGCCCAGGAGGAAAAAGUGGUUUCAUGAGUUGAACCCAGGGUCCCCAAGCUGUGUGCAGCUUAGGGACUUGGUGCCCUGUGUCCCACCUGCUCCAGCCAUGGCUGAAAGGGGCCAAUAUAGAGCUCAUGCUGUAGUUACAGAGGAGGAAUCCCCAAGCCUUGGAAGCUUCCACAUGGUGUGGAGCCUGCAGGUGCACAGAAGUUAAGAAUUGAGAUUGAGGGGCCGGAAACAGAAUGAUAUGCUUUGGUGGUGUCCCCACCCAAAUCUCAACUUGAAUUUUGUCUUCCAGAAUUCCCUUGUGUUGUAGAAGGGACCCAGGGGGGAGGUAAUUGAAUCAUGUGGGCUUAUUUUACCUGUGCUAUUCUCUUGAUAGUGAAUAAGUCUCACACGAUCUGAUCGGUUUAUCACGGGUUUCUGAGUUUGCUUGUUCCUUAUUUUUCUCUUGCUGAUGCCAUGUGAAAACUGUCUCUUGUCUCCCAUCAUGAUUGUGAGGUCUCCCCAGCCAUGUGAAACUGCAAGUCCAAUUAAACCUCUUUUCAUUCCCAGUUUCGGGUAUGUCUUUAUCAGUACCAUGAAAGCAAACUAAUAUAUCAUAUAAUCAUGUGUUUUUUUUUCACUCUAAUGAAGAAUACUUACAGUUUUUACUCACAUUCUGGAGUUUCUUUGUGGGCAUGCCACAGGUUCGCUCCCAAGAUUUCUUGGCUUUGAACAAUCUCUGACCAGUGAAUUGUUUUCAUUUAUCUUUAUUACCUAUAGUAUUAAAUAUUUCACUUAUGUCUCUUUAUCAUUUUUAUUUGUAGAUAGCAUAUUGUAUUUUAUUUCUCAAUAAUGACAGAUUUUGAAGGAGAAACUGACAUUCUAAGCAUACUGACUGACUGUGCUGCUACACUUGGUACAUAAUGAAGCACAGCUAGAUCUCAAUGGUGAGAUCUAGCAAGAUGUUGCUACUUUGGCUUCUACAAAAACUCUCUUUGGAAUGAUUUCACUGAAGGCUUUCUUUAUCUAAUCCAGUUUGAUACCACAUGUGUUAAACAUGCAAAAUUUUAUGAGGAAUAAUAAAAGACUAUUUUAGAAUUUUAUUUAUUUAUUUAUUUAUUUUUUGAGACAGAGUUUCGCUCUUGUUACCCAGGCUGGAGUCAAUGGCGUGAUCUUGGCUCACCGCAAUCUCUGCCUCCUGGGUUCGGGCAAUUCUCCUGCCUCAGCCUCCUGAGUAGCUGGGAUUACAGGCACACGCCACCAUGCCCAGCUAAUUUUUUGUAUUUUUAAUAGAGACGGGGUUUCACCAUGUUGACCAGGAUGGUUUCGAUCUGUUGACCUCGUGAUCCACCCGCCUCGGCCUC